rnacentral:rRNA from 1 species
GACGAACGCUGGCGGCGUGCUUAACACAUGCAAGUCGAACGGAAAGGCCCUGCUUUUGUGGGGUGCUCGAGUGGCGAACGGGUGAGUAACACGUGAGUAACCUGCCCUUGACUUUGGGAUAACUUCAGGAAACUGGGGCUAAUACCGGAUAGGAGCUCCUGCUGCAUGGUGGGGGUUGGAAAGUUUCGGCGGUUGGGGAUGGACUCGCGGCUUAUCAGCUUGUUGGUGGGGUAGUGGCUUACCAAGGCUUUGACGGGUAGCCGGCCUGAGAGGGUGACCGGCCACAUUGGGACUGAGAUACGGCCCAGACUCCUACGGGAGGCGGCAGUGGGGAAUAUUGCACAAUGGGCGGAAGCCUGAUGCAGCAACGCCGCGUGCGGGAUGACGGCCUUCGGGUUGUAAACCGCUUUCGCCUGUGACGAAGCGUGAGUGACGGUAAUGGGUAAAGAAGCACCGGCUAACUACGUGCCAGCAGCCGCGGUGAUACGUAGGGUGCGAGCGUUGUCCGGAUUUAUUGGGCGUAAAGGGCUCGUAGGUGGUUGAUCGCGUCGGAAGUGUAAUCUUGGGGCUUAACCCUGAGCGUGCUUUCGAUACGGGUUGACUUGAGGAAGGUAGGGGAGAAUGGAAUUCCUGGUGGAGCGGUGGAAUGCGCAGAUAUCAGGAGGAACACCAGUGGCGAAGGCGGUUCUCUGGGCCUUUCCUGACGCUGAGGAGCGAAAGCGUGGGGAGCGAACAGGCUUAGAUACCCUGGUAGUCCACGCUGUAAACGGUGGGUACUAGGUGUGGGGUCCAUUCCACGGGUUCCGUGCCGUAGCUAACGCUUUAAGUACCCCGCCUGGGGAGUACGGCCGCAAGGCUAAAACUCAAAGGAAUUGACGGGGCCCCGCACAAGCGGCGGAGCAUGCGGAUUAACUCGAUGCAACGCGUAGAACCUUACCUGGGUUUGACAUGGAUCGGGAGCGCUCAGAGAUGGGUGUGCCUCUUUUGGGGUCGGUUCACAGGUGGUGCAUGGCUGUCGUCAGCUCGUGUCGUGAGAUGUUGGGUUAAGUCCCGCAACGAGCGCAACCCUUGUUCACUGUUGCCAGCACGUUAUGGUGGGGACUCAGUGGAGACCGCCGGGGUCAACUCGGAGGAAGGUGGGGAUGACGUCAAGUCAUCAUGCCCCUUAUGUCCAGGGCUUCACGCAUGCUACAAUGGCUGGUACAGAGAGUGGCGAGCCUGUGAGGGUGAGCGAAUCUCGGAAAGCCGGUCUCAGUUCGGAUUGGGGUCUGCAACUCGACCUCAUGAAGUCGGAGUCGCUAGUAAUCGCAGAUCAGCAACGCUGCGGUGAAUACGUUCCCGGG